rnacentral:rRNA from 1 species
GGCUACGAGGACGAACGCUGGCGGCGUGCCUAACACAUGCAAGUCGAACGAGGUCCAGUCUGUAGCAAUACAGAUGAAGACCUAGUGGCGAACGGGUGAGUAGCACGUGAGCAACCUGCCCCGAAGACCGGGACAACACCCGGGAAACCGGUGCUAAUACCGGAUGCCCCCACCGGAUCGCAUGGUCCGGUGAGGAAAUGGAUUCCGCUUCGGGAGGGCUCGCGGCCUAUCAGCUAGGUUGGUGAGGUAACGGCUCACCAAGGCGUCGACGGGUAGCUGGUCUGAGAGGACGAUCAGCCACACUGGGACUGAGACACGGCCCAGACUCCUACGGGAGGCAGCAGUGGGGAAUCUUGCACAAUGGGCGAAAGCCUGAUGCAAGCAACGCCGCGUGAGGGACGAAGGCUUUCUGAGUUGUAAACCUCUUUCAGCAGGGACGAUUGUGACGGUACCUGCAGAAGAAGCCCCGGCCAACUACGUGCCAGCCGCAGC